GGAGACCGUGUCGGCGUCGGAUGAAUUGACACAAAACAGUAAUGAUUUCGGUGAUACUCCAAAUUUCGGGGAUAUGUUGCGUGCAGACUCGGUCACUGCUUCAGCUGAUUCUGAAACGCUCACUGCGUGGUCAGAUACGCUUAGCCUCUAUGACUCUGACACCUUAGAUGUACAAUAUGAAGUCGAAGUUCAUACUGAGCAGGAUCGUCCAUAACAGAAAGGACGCCAUUAAACUACUACGUCCGAGGACGGACGAUUGUCAGUCUGGCCGUGUCGGCGCCGCCGUAGAGAAUAUGAGAAUACGUCGGAUUAGAGUGACAGCUGAGGAAGUGUCACUCUGACGGAGCGUCAAGUUGGGAGCAGCGCGGGAACUUUGACAUAAAGAAAAAGGCCCGCGCGCCCUCACCAGGCGAAUCGUCUCAAUUCGACGUCGUAAUUUAGUUUAUUGUUUGUUUUUCACCAUAAUUGUUAUUUCUUACUAUAAAGUGUACUCAAGACAGUGCUGGCAUUAUUAUUCAUUAUAAACUAAGCGUCUGCGGCUAGAGUAAACGAUGGAGAUUUCUGAUGUUGGUAACGAAGAGCCGACAUAUACAAUUUAUGUCACUAUAAAAAUUGACACAUUUAUCUUUUUGCUUUUUCGCGAGGUAUUUUGACACAAAUUGUAUAUAUCUGUCAAAGUGUCGUUCUAAUAGACAGCUUCACAAUUUUGACUCUAGAGGCGCUAGUUAGAAUCUUUGCAUCGCCAAUAUUACGAAUGAGUUCUUAGUACAAAAUAAAAUAGUAUUUCUAGUAGAAUCAUUAAUUUUAAUCCAAGAAAAUAGUUUAACCAACGCUGGGGCCUGAUUCUGCUACCUAAUGUAAUAAUGUGACAAUUGGAUAAUAAUGUAAUCUCUAUAGCAGUUUUAACCAUAUUGGGCAUUCAGCUACUAAUAUAAAACCAAUCGUAUUCUAUUGAAAUUUCAUUGAUUUGCUAUUGGUAUAUAUAUAGGUUAGUCUGCUCUACAAUCAUUGAUGAUGAUUUAAAUCAUUUGCAGAAAAUAUAAUCCAUUGAAUCACAGAAUAUAAUAAAAACGUUUAUUAAAAAUAAAAAACAGCGGAAUGCCAUAUCCGGUUCAAUCAAUCGUCAUUGAGUCGUGAUUGGAUUUCAGUCUCAGUUGGAUAUCAAUCGUCGCUUAAGUAAAAAUAGAAGAAUUGCCAGAAAUUAUAAUCUGUUCUAGCCAAUUAAUUGCUAAUACUGCGAACAGGGUCUCAAUUCUCCUUAUUUAACCAUGUGUAAAUUGGAUAUCUAUUCAAUCUCGAAAUCUGGUACUAACUUAUUCGGCUGUACAAUCUUACUGCAAUCGUAAAUCAAUUGCAGACAAUAUGAUUCAUUAUUGAAUCACAGAGAAGGAGAAGAACGUUUAUUAAAUUUAAAACAAUUUAAUAGUUCAUAUUUAUUUGCGUAAUGCUCCAUGCGCUUAAAUCGUAAUAGUCGUUAUUGAAUCUCAGCUGAAUAUCAAUCGUAUUUCGCUUAAAUAAAAUUAGUGGAAUUAAGUCCCAGUAAGUGUAGAACUAGAAGUACGUAAGUACCCCGAUGUAAAAGUACUAAUACUAUGUACCUAUUCAAAUCUAUGGUAUAACACCUUCACGGACUAGAGAGGUAGUAGUCGUCCGGUGAGACCUCGUAUUAUUUUUCUAAUGACAGAUUAUUGUGAUUUCUUAUUUCUUUUACAUUUUAACCUGUUUAUUAUUUAAAUUAUAAAUAAAAACGAUUCGUUUGUUA
rnacentral:lncRNA from 1 species